rnacentral:lncRNA from 1 species
CCCCAACCUUAAGGGCUCCCACCGACCUUGCCCUGGGCCAUCGUGGAGGAGGUAAAUCGCAGGAUGUGCCUCCCAGGAGCCAGAGUGAAGAGCACAUGGAUAGGUCAAGGCUGUUAACCCAUAUGGUAACUCCCGCUUGCAACAAAGCCAAUUCCACCUUGCGGGGAAUCGAACUCUGCACACUGCCGUGCUGAGCCCUAUCCGUCCUCCCCUUUGCCACUGGGAGAUAUGCCCUGGGGGCGGUGAUUCCUAUUUAUAGUAUUACUUUGAGACGCCUUACUCAAUAUAUAACUUUCAUGCCUUUCAAAGUGUGAAAUGGAGAAAAUUUUAGGAGCUUCAAUCAUGGUGAUUGAG